rnacentral:lncRNA from 10 species
GCCUCGGGACCGCGAGGUGAGCAGAGGCUGGUCGGGAAGUUUCCCGGAGGCUCGCCCCGGGAACCCCGCCCCGCCGCCCUGGAAGCCCCUGUCUGCUCGCUGGCUUACCCCUAGGACGGGCAGCUCACCACUUCUCCCGGAAUCCUGGUCCGCAGACAGCCCUGUCUUCUAGUCCAAGAUGCUGGCCAAGAGUGUUGAGGUGGGGAGAAUGAAAGUGAGAUGAGGGAAGAUCUCAGACUUACACCUGCCCUGCCCCGCCUGGCUGAUUCUCCAGCCCCAGCCGGAGAGCCACUCACCAUUUUGAUGGGCCGGAAGGACAUGAGCCGAUCACUGCGGUAGCUGCUCGACCAUGUGUUCCAGCGAGGGUACUCGCCCUUCUCCAGGAUGAACAUCUCCCCGCGGAAGUUGGACUGCUCAAAGGCGACCCAGCUGGAUACAAGAAGGACCAUGAGGCAGACAGGAGACAUAUGCGCCCACACAGACCCAGGCCCCCGGACCACAGGCCCGUUUCCAUGCCCAUCAGGCACGGCUCCAAGGCACACGUCAGACACCAGCUGCAUCUUUGUUUGAGGAGAAAUACUCUGGGUUUGAGUCACUGGUACCAAAAAAAGCCUGAAAACCCAUGCUGGCCACAUCCGGUAGCUUCUGCUUCCAGCUGGGUUUUGGGGCUGAGGGUGGAGCUGAGGCUGCGUUGACCACACUGAGGGUGCAGGAGGUAGAAAUGGUCCCGGGUAGCCUCCAGGAUAAGUUGGCUAAAUUCACCGGGCAGGGAGGUGGGUACGUGACCAUCAGAGUCACCUGCCAUGUUUGGGUGCCCACAAGGUAACAGGCCCAUGCUGUAUGAUCUCCCUCAGACCUCAGCAUAAUCCUGUGAGGAGUGGUGAGGGCCAUCCUUCUCCCCAUUUCAAAGAUGGGGAAACUGAGGCUUGCACACUGAACAAGGCAAACAGGGGAAGUCAGGACUCAAACCCAGGCUUGUCUGACCUCAAAGCUCAUCUCGGAAUGGGCUCAGAAUACAGGAUGACUGGAACCCUUGCAGGCUUUCAAAGUGGGGGAGACAAGAGCAAACGAGCUGCGUGGAUCUUGUCCUGGGGCUGCCCCUCCACCCUGACCUCAGCACACACAGGCUGGACAUAGGGCAACCACUCUGCCCAAGGAUGACUAUCCCUGUUUUAUAUGGGAGUCACUAAGGCCCAGAGACACCCACAGAGACAGGAACAGGCAGUGAAGCAUGGUGAUUAAGAGCUUUAGGAAUGAACUCAAUCAACCUGAGUUGAAUCCUGGCUGUGCCACUUACCAAUAGGUGACCUUGGGUAAGAGACUCACCCCCUCUGAGCCUCAGUCUUUCCAUCUGUCAAGUGGGCAUAAGAAUAGCCUCUGCCUCCUACAGCACUGUGAAUCAUCUAGGUGUGGUCCCGAGUCAGUGCCUGGCACCUGGUGGGUGUGCCACAGAUGCUUAUCAUUACUCCCAGGCAGCUGGACGCCCAGGAGAGGGGACAGCGAGUGGACACUUCACUCUUUGACCUCUCUCAGCCCUCGGUAAUGGGCUAGAGUUUGUUUUUUUUUUUUUUGUUUUUUUUUUUUUUUUGAGACGGAGUCUCGCUCUGUCGCCCAGGCCGGACUGCAGACUGC